GAAUCUAUUUAUCAAGAUCAGGCUGAAAAUGCAUAUAAGAAAACAUCCUCCCAGAUAUACUCUGACUAAUCCACUUUGCUUCCUAACCGCCUGGCCGAACCUCCAUUCUUCCUUGGGACUGAGGAGUAGCUGAAGGAGAUCACUCAAAACUGCCAGAAAUUUUGGGAAGCAAAAGCCUCUGCUAGCUCCCCUUGUGCAGCAGCAGCAGCAGGAAUGCUUUCUAAGCCUCCUGGAAGAGUAAUUUCCAUUGCCAUUAGGUGGCCCUUUAUCAGUGCACAGAAUCACAGAACAGUAGAAGUUGGAAUGGACAUCUGCAGAUCAUCUAGUUCAACAUCCCUGCCACUGUAAGUUACACAGGAUGGUAUCCAGGAAAAUCUAUGCAAAGAAACUACAGUAAAUACUGGUUUUGAUGAACAAGCUUUUCCACUACAAAGGCACAACAACAAAAAAAAAGAGACAGAGAGUAGGAGCAUAUUUCACUCCUUGAAAAGGUUAGCAAACUAUUUUGUAAAGUGGUUUCCUUGAGGCUCUCCGAAACAACUGGGCCAGUUCUAUGCAGAAACAAUGCACAGAAGAUAUGAGGGGACCAGAGUCUUUUGAACCAGCAGCUGUGCUACCUGCGGCUCUCCAUAACAAGCAGACCAAUUCCAUGUGGAAACAGAAUGAGCACAAGAUAUAAAAAGAUCAAAAUUGUUUGAACCAGCAGCUGUGCUACCUGCGGCAGUUAAUCUUUCCUGGCAAUCUGUUAGAGACACACAUUCCUCAGGCUAGGAGGACUAAGAGGCUUUUGCUGACUGCUGUUCCUCUGAGAAAAGCUGAGUCCAAUUCUUC